CAGAGCCGGGCCGACGCGGGCGCCGGGGCCCAUCCCCGGAAGGGGCCCGGUGCCCCGCCCCGAGAGACGGCGCGCGCAGGGCCAGCGGGUCGCCGCUCCCGGCCAGUAGUCCGCGCUGGCACCGGAACACAGGAGUUGCACAGAGCGCCCGCCGCCGGGCUCUCAGCUGGGGCGCCGGGGGAAGCGGAGCCGGGCAGCCAUCUUGAGAGAGCGGCCUUGGGACGGCGCUCCUACGGCGGCCCGCAGGGCUCACGGCAGCCCGCGGGGACCUACGGCGGCCCGCAGAGGCCUCGCGGCAGACGGACUAGGCUGAGACCAAGACGCAGGAUAUCUCUGUACCGACUGCCACGCGACUGCUCCUUGACUUAAGCAUACACAGCCUCCUAUGAAUGAAGGGAUCUAGGCAUUGAGCAUCAACAGCUGCUGACAUCAAGAAAAGAGAAACAAGUAAACAGAUGUGCCUCAUAGUGAAAGGACCAACACCAACCUAAAUAGCUUUGCCAAAGGAUUGAACCUAAGCCUGAGGCACUUACUUUUGGAGCCCUGAACCACUUUGUGAGAAAUCCAGUUACUAUGAGGCUGCCAUGCAGUGAGGAAGCCCAGACCAGGGGGAGAGGCCAUGCGUGCAUGUCCUAUACUGAGACUGAGGUCCCAGCUGAGAGCCAGCGUCAAUUUUCAGACAUCGCGAGGCUCACGAUGUAGGAGAUGACGACCCACUCCUGCAGGGAGGGCCAGCCAUCCAUCCGCACCAGGAUGACGUAGUUAAACAGCAGGAGGUAGCCCAAGUAGGAUAUCUGGAAGAAAGAGAAGUUGCCAGCCGUGUUGGAGGGGAAAACGUUGGAAUCACGUUUGGAAACUCUAUUUUCUUUCAGAUUUCCCUCUGGAACCUUUCCACGGCUGAUGGACGACGUGGGACGUCAGAAGAGGGGAUGUGUGGAGGAGUGGGAUGAGUGCCAGCUCCCUCCAUUAGCAGUGACAAGUCUGGAGUUUGCUGUGGUCACAAUAGGGUCCCUAUCUUUGUGUCAAGGAAAGAGGUACAGUGAGGUAUGGGGGAUGGAGGUUGUCUGAAGUUGAUGGUCCCGGGUUCAUUCCCCACGAAGCUGAGGGAACGUCAGCUCAGGGUCCCUCACUGGCACAGGCCCCUUCUGAAGUCUUGAGGGAGAGGUGCUAGCAGUUAUGUAUUUGUGACUUGGCAGCUUCUUUUGUAAAAGAUCCCCCCCUCCCCAUUGUGUAGGCUUUACGAGGAUACAGGUAGAAUUUCCUGUAUCCACUGUCUACUCCUUGCAGGAGGAUUAGAGCCAGAGUUCUCAAACUGUGUCAUAAUCCCUGGGAAGCUGUAAAAUGUGCCAUGUCUUCCUGUCCCCACAUCCAGACAGAACAUCCAGAGGGUCUGGGUGAGGCCCAAGGUUGAGAAGCCUGGACCGAGGCCUCCCCCGCAGCCUCUGUGGCUGGGAUCCCCUGCAGGCUGGGCACACGCCGGGCCCUCAGAAUAGGUUCUGAGCAGAAUAGGUAGGUGGUGGUGGCUUCCACUGCAUCAUUAAGCAUGGCUGCUAAAAGUUGGGCAUCCAGUCCCAUGGUUGGCCCUCAGGCUUGUCCCCUACCAGAGCUCUGCUCUCCCCCACCUGCACCCUCAUCCAUUGCAUGGUCCGUAGCCCCAGACCCAGCUCCUCAUGUCCAUCGUCUGCUCCUGCCUGGUCCCCAGAGGAACCACAGUGCCAGGGCCUGCCUGAUGUGGGCUGUGGCUUGGUGCUUGGGAUUUCAUGAGAUGUCUUGUCCCUCUGCCAGACUGACGUGGCUGCACAAGCCACAGCAUGUCUGGCCACCCCUCCUGGGACCAUUUCCCAGUGCAGAUAGACCAUUUCAUUUUCCUGCAGAGGUGGGCGCUCAGAUUUGCUCCUGUUUCCUGUCCUGCUUGUGUCACCAGGGAGCUGUCUGGGCCUGGGCACCGAGGGGGCUGGAGGAUGGCAUGAGGGCCAAGUGGUCAGUUUGGGGACACUGGAGAGUGGAGAGGGCUUGAUUUGCUGCUCUGUUCUAGAAGUUUAUCAUCUGGGCUCUGCCAAGCCCUUUUAGUAAGCCCACCAAUUCAAUGAAAAAUGGAAUUUGCUCUUUAAAUCACUAGCCAUCUCUGUUCUUUUAAAAAUUAUAUUUCCCUACAUCUGCAGUACUAAAGGCAUUUGAAAAAUCAUUCAUCUUAAGCAAAUAGAAUGUGACUAUUUUGUUUUAUGAAAUGCUGUAUUUGGGGGCUAGAAUAGCCGUAUUUUUACAUACAUGUAAAUACGUAACAAGAUAUCUAGAUCCAAUUUUAGUUA